UGGAAAGCCUGUUCUUUGCUGGUGAAGGGCAGAGACUCGUAGGGCCAGUGGGUAGAGACAAGGUGCAGGUGGCAGAAACUUCAGCACCGACCUGGUGCAUUUGAAGAGCACAGAUCCAGAAAGAGGAAGCCACAGACCAAGAAGCAAAGUAUGGAAAGGAUAAAAUAUUUAUUUUCUGUCAACAUUCAUGACUUUUGAUUAUUAAACCUACUUUCAUUAUUCUGCAUUUGUGAAGUGAAUUGUUUACAAUGAAAAAGGGAAGAGAACACUCAAUUUCAUGGGAUGAAAGAUUCUUUCAGAGAGAUGGGCUGUUCAUCUGUCACCUGGGCUGGAG